AUUUUUGAGAAACCAUUACUGCCUUUUAAGGAGUGUGUGCAUUGCCGCUUGCUGGAUGGGUUCCAUAUAAGAACCGGUGGUGGCGGGGGUGGUGGGGAGAGGGUAGUUGGAAGCCUGGGACAGGACUCGGAGUGGGAAGACUGGGCCAGAGGUCCAGAGAAGAAUUCCCAGCUCCCUGCCAGGGGAUUUGGCUGCAGAAUUCCUUAUGGAGGAGCGAAGUGUCCUUAAAAUGAAGGCUGUUUGGGUUCAUCUGUUUAACCAGCCCAGGCUCAACCAGCAGUUCAGCCAUGUAAUGUGCCUGCUCCCCCUUUGCCUUCUGCCACGAGUGGAAGCUUCCUGAGGCCUCAUCAGAAGCAGAUACUGGCUCCUUGCUUCCUGUACAGCCUGUGGAACCAUGAGCCAAAUAAACCUCUUUUCUUUAUAAAUUACCCAGCCUCAGAUAUUCCCUUAUUGGAGUGCAAAACAGACUAACACAGGAUCCAAUUUGACAGAAGAGGCCAGCGCCACGGGAGUGGUGUGGACUGCAGCUAUAAACAGGGGAUUGUCAGGGGCAAGGAGGUCACCAAAGGAGGGGUGCCCUGCAGAGGAUGUGCAAGAACUGAGCCCAGGGCCUCCCAGAAAUUUAGAGGAUGGAGACUGAGAGGGGCGGGGGGAAACCUGGGUCAGGUUGGAGUCUUACAGACCAAGUGGAAAGGCUUCUAAAGAGGAAGGUGUAAGCAACUGUAUCAGAUGUUUGAUGGGUCACCUAAGACAAGGACUGAGAAGUGACUGGUCCCUGGAGGCUUGACCAGACAGUUCUGCUGUUAGAUGGGGGCUGGAAGGAGCCUCCUGCCCUUGAGGUGUCCUUAGGAGCAUGGCACUCCUUCUAACCUCUUUUUCUCUUUUUUUCUUGAGACGGAGUUUCGCUCUUGUUGCCCACCCAGGCUGGAGCGCAAUGGCGUGAUCUCGGCUCAUCGCAACCUCCGCCUCCCGGGUU
rnacentral:lncRNA from 1 species